AUGAACUGCAUCAACUCCUGUCUUCAAUCAACAACAUCGAUUCCGUAUCGCAUCAACAACAAUGAUUCCGCAUUGCAUCAUCAACAUCAAUUCUGCUCUCACAACUUCAUCUUCAUCGCAUCAAUCUUCAAUCAUCAUCAACCUACAACGUUACAACAACAUGCAUCAGAAAUCUUAUCACUAUCGUGCACUCAAGUAACAAUAUAG